rnacentral:rRNA from 1 species
UCGGACUCAACGCCGGGAAACUCACCAGAUAAGACAGCUGAAUGAUAGUCGGGCUGAAGACUCUACUUGACUAGCUGAGAGGAGGUGCAUGGCCGUCGUCAGUUCGUACUGUGAAGCAUCCUGUUAAGUCAGGCAACGAGCGAGACCCACGCCAACAGUUGCCAGCUCGUCCUCCGGGAUGGUGGGGACACUGUUGGGACCGCCUCUGCUAAAGAGGAGGAAGGAAUGGGCAACGGUAGGUCAGCAUGCCCCGAAUUAUCUGGGCUACACGCGGGCUACAAUGGGUGGGACAAUGGGUAUCGACACCGAAAGGUGAAGGCAAUCUCCUAAACCCAUCCGUAGUUCGGAUUGUGGGCUGCAACUCGCCCACAUGAAGCUGGAAUCCGUAGUAAUCGUGUCUCAAAAUGGCACGGUGAAUAUGUCCCUGCUCCUU